rnacentral:rRNA from 1 species
UACGAAGGGUGCAAGCGUUACUCGGAAUUACUGGGCGUAAAGCGUGCGUAGGUGGUGAGUUAAGUCUGUCGUGAAAGCCCCGGGCUCAACCUGGGAAUGGCGAUGGAUACUGGCUCGCUAGAGUGCGGUAGAGGAGAGUGGAAUUCCCGGUGUAGCAGUGAAAUGCGUAGAGAUCGGGAGGAAUACCGAUGGCGAAGGCAGGUCUCUGGGCUGACACUGACGCUCAUGCACGAAAGCGUGGGGAGCAAACAGG